GUGCCAGCAGCCAUCGGUGAGAUUCCAGCUCCAAUAGCGUAUAUUAAAGUUGUUGUGGUUAAAAAGCUCGUAGUUGAACCUUGGGCCUGGCUGGCCGGUCCGCCUCACCGCGUGCACUGGUCCGGCCGGGCCUUUCCCUCUGUGGAACCCCAUACCCUUCACUGGGCGUGGCGGGGAAACAGGACAUUUACUUUGAAAAAAUUAGAGUGCUCCAGGCAGGCCUAUGCUCGAAUACAUUAGCAUGGAAUAAUAAAAUAGGACGCGCGGUUCUAUUUUGUUGGUUUAUAGGACCGCCGUAAUGAUUAAUAGGGACAGUCGGGGGCAUCAGUAUUCAACUGUCAGAGGUGAAAUUCUUGGAUCAGUUGAAGACUAACUACUGCGAAAGCAUUUGCCAAGGAUGUUUUCAUUAAUCAGGAACGAAAGUUAGGGGAUCGAGGACGAUCAGAUACCGUCGUAGUCUUAACCAUAAACUAUGCCGACUAGGGAUCGGACGGUGUUAUUCAUGACCCGUUCGGCACCUUACGAGAAAUCAAAGUGCUUGGGCUCCAGGGGGAGUAUGGUCGCAAGGCUGAAACUUAAAGAAAUUGACGGAAGGGCACCACCAGGGGUGGAGCCUGCGGCUUAAUUUGACUCAACACGGGGAAACUCACCAGGUCCAGACACAAUAAGGAUUGACAGAUUGAGAGCUCUUUCUUGAUUUUGUGGGUGGUGUGCAUGGCCGUUCUAGUUGUGGGGUGACUUGUCUGCUUAAUUGCGAUAACGAACGAGACCUUAACCUGCUAAAUAGGCCCGC
rnacentral:rRNA from 1 species